AAGAUGUACGGUGUUGAUGGCAGCAGUAACAGACACAAACACAUGCUCGGCACGUUGAUUUCGUUGCAGGAUGAUGACAGUGAGGGAGGAAAGCUCACAGACACUGAGAUCAAAGCUUUGCUCUUGGUACUUCUCUCCCCCUGCCAUUAUAAUUAAUAUACAAAUAAUUGUUAACGAUUAUUAUUUAUUAAUAUUUCAAUUAUCAUUUGUUAUAUUACUAAUAGAUACACUUUUACAAAUUUAUAAUAAUAAUAAACCAAAAAAUUAGAGUAAUAAUCAAAGUAUUUUUGUUUAUUUACAAAAUAGUACAUUCCUCAAUUUAUUUAUUUAUUUAUUUUUAAAUUAAAAUAUUAAAUUAAUUUUUAAAAUUUAAUAAUUAAUUUUUAUAAGAAUUUUAAACGAUAAAAAAUUCAUCAAAAUUUACAAUAAUUAUUAUUUUCACAAUCAUUUUUUAUUAGCUUAGUUUGUGAAUAAAAUAGUUUAAUUUUUUUUUAAAAUUGAAAAAAGAAUUUUAAUACCUUACAACAAAUGGUUACAGAACAUGUUCAUAGCAGGAACCGACACGUCAUCAAGCACUAUAGAAUGGGCCAUGGCUGAACUCAUCCGGCAUCCAAAAAUCCUAGCCCAAGUCCGGCGAGAGCUGGACUCCGUCAUCGGCCCGAACC
rnacentral:lncRNA from 1 species